rnacentral:tRNA from 2 species
UGCCUUGGUGGUGGAAUGGUAGACACAGGAGAUUCAAAAUCUCCUGCUUCCGACGAAGCGUGGAGGUUCGAGUCCUCUUCAAGGCAU